AAUAUAUUUUUUUCUUCUUUAUUGCAGCUGUACAUUUUGGAAAGAUUUUCUACACUCAUUCCCAAACUUAAUUUUUAAAGUGAUAGGAUCACGUUUCAUCUGAAAGUCAAGAAUUUGAAAUCCGUGGCUGAAUGCAUCUCCCAGAAUCUCCCGUUAGAAAUGAGCAAAGCCAUCAGAAAUCUGAGACAGUGUCUACCCCAAGACAGCUUACAUGAAUGAAACCUGAACUGAACUAAAUAUUAACAAUGAUAUCAUCAAUAGGAAUCAUGCUUCUCCAGGAAGGCAAGCCAUCUUUCUUACCACAGGAAUGCUCCAUAAGUAUCUGCAUCAGCAGCAGUACAUGCUUUAGAGACCUGGAGAAAUAA
rnacentral:lncRNA from 1 species